rnacentral:sRNA from 1 species
UCAGAGUAUGUCCAUGUGGAAGCUUAU